rnacentral:lncRNA from 1 species
GGCUCGCGAGCAGGCUCGUUGAGAAGGCUCGCGAGCAGGCUCGUUGAGAAGGCUCGCGAGCAGGCUCGUUGAGAAGGCUCACGAGCAAGCUCGUUAAAUAGGCUCGUGAGUAAUAUUGUUUAAAUAAAUUGGUGAACCAAUUCGUUAAAUAAAUUUAUGAACAAGUUCAUAUAUUAUUAAAAAAAUAAAAAUAACUAUAAAGUUAUAAAAUUUAAACUAUUAUAAAUACUUGAAAAUUAUAGUAUUGAAAAUUACAAAUAAUUAAGAUUAAUUAUUAUAAUUAAUAUUCUUUAAA